CUACGGGCGGCAGCAGUGGGGAAUAUUGGACAAUGGGCGAAAGCCUGAUCCAGCCAUGCCGCGUGUGUGAAGAAGGCCUUCGGGUUGUAAAGCACUUUCAGUGGGGAAGAAAGCCUUGGGGCUAAUACCCUCGAGGAAGGACAUCACCCACAGAAGAAGCACCGGCUAACUCCGUGCCAGCAGCCGCGGUAAUACGGAGGGUGCGAGCGUUAAUCGGAAUUACUGGGCGUAAGGCGCGCGUAGGCGGUCUGAUAAGCCGGUUGUGAAAGCCCCGGGCUCAACCUGGGAACGGCAUCCGGAACUGUCAGGCUAGAGUGCAGGAGAGGAAGGUAGAAUUCCCAGUGUAGCGGUGAAAUGCGUAGAGAUCGGGAGGAAUACCAGUGGCGAAGGCGGCCUUCUGGACUGACACUGACGCUGAGGUGCGAAAGCGUGGGGAGCAAACAGGAUUAGAUACCCCAGUAGUC
rnacentral:rRNA from 1 species